rnacentral:rRNA from 1 species
GACGAACGCUGGCGGCGUGCUUAACACAUGCAAGUCGAACGGAAAGGCCCUGCUUUUGUGGGGUGCUGGAUUGCGAAACGGGUAAGUAACACGUGUGUAACCUGCCCUUGACUUUGGGAUAACUUCAGGAAACUGGGGUUAAUCCCGUAUAGGAUCUCCUCUUCCAGGGUGGGGGUGGGAACUUUUCAGCGGUUGGGGAUGGACUGGCGGCUUAUCGGCUUGUUGGUGGGGUAGUGGCUUACCAAGCGUUUGACGGGUAGCCGGCCUGGGAGGGUGAACGGCCACAUUGGGACUGAGAUACGGCGCAGACUCCUACGGGAGGCAGCAGUGGGGAAUAUUGCACAAUGGGCGGAAGCCUGAUGCAGAAACGCCGCGUGCGGGAUGACGGCCUUCGGGUUGUAAACCGCUUUCGCCUGUGACGAAGCGUGAGUGACGGUAAUGGGUAAAGAAGCACCGGCUAACUACGUG